UACGUAGGGUGCAAGCGUUGUCCGGAAUUAUUGGGCGUAAAGAGCUCGUAGGCGGUUUGUCGCGUCUGCUGUGAAAACUCAGGGCUUAACCCUGAGCCUGCAGUGGGUACGGGCAGACUAGAGUGCGGUAGGGGAGACUGGAAUUCCUGGUGUAGCGGUGAAAUGCGCAGAUAUCAGGAGGAACACCGAUGGCGAAGGCAGAUCUCUGGGCCGUAACUGACGCUGAGGAGCGAAAGCGUGGGGAGCGAACAGG
rnacentral:rRNA from 1 species